AGAGUGCUGGUGGCUGAUGAGCCCAGGGCUGCUCUUGCUCACUUUGCUGACAGCACUCG
rfam:Homo sapiens chromosome 15, GRCh38 reference primary assembly.